GGAGUGAAUAAAGGGCUGUGUGGUGUUUAGCUGCGUGCUGCGUUAAACGACAACACCCGGUAAUCUGUGAGAGGGAGGAGUCCGUGGUUUUGGUAGAUCCUUCCAGUGGUCAGAGUAAAAGAACAAAUUGCUGGUCAUUUUGUCUACAGUGCUUGACUACAAAGGUUUUGGGGACAAUUCAUGCUUUUAACGUAGAAGUGGUAUGAGUUUUCUAUCAGCAAGCUUUGUACCCUGAAGGUCUCCUGAGUGUACUGAUGCCAUCCCCUCCAGGAAAGGUAGCACAAUGCCUAACUUAGCUGUUGGGCUGCAACACAACCUUCACUUUUGUCAUGGACUGCUAAUUGAAAACCCACUCAAGAUAAAGGAACUGAAUCUUUGCGUUGCAAGAGUUUGGGUCUGGUUUAUGGAAUGCUAUGGGAGUCCCAUGCCAGGGACAAUUCCAGCGACUGGAUGGUACAAACAAUUUAACUAUGGAGAUAAGGUACACUGUUGCACAAUGUUUAAUUCACCAGCACUGGAAUAAACGGGGGAUAGCCAAGACCCAGCCCAUGGAUGCAGAGCAAAGUGGCAUCUGGAUAAUGGAGUUUAAAAAAUACCAAGGCACAACAUUCUGUUUGGCUCUGCCUAUCAGCAGGAAUAUAUUUUCUUCAGGAAAACAGACACCAAUCUGCUGUGUCUUUCACUGGCACUGGGGGCUAGCACACAUUACCUUCAGUCCUUGGGCUACCUACAGUCUGUCCGUCUUCCAUUUAUUCUUUUAUGCAUCAUGUGAAAAACAUUUGUGUAAAAGCUCUCAUCAAGUGCACCAGUUGAAAAGAGGAGGAAGGAGCAUGGAAAUAAAUGCUUUUUCAAAAUUAAGGGUCGUCUAUAUUCAGUCAAUUCAAGAUCAUGUUCUCAGUUCUCUUCGUUCCUUGAGGAGGCACUGGGCUGUUUCAGAAACAUCUUUCAGUGCUUUGUGCAGUGCUGGUGUGUUGGGUUCGCAGUGCCAAAGGAUCCAUUCUUUGAGUUGCAGAAAGAAUCAUGGGGUUUUUUAUGUAAGUAAUAUGCUGAGAGGCCAAUUCUUAUUUAUGAAAAACUGA
rnacentral:lncRNA from 7 species